UCCUCCAAAGAGAUUAUACACUUUUUUUAACUAGAAAAAAGUUAUUUGUUAAAGAGAUCAUAAAUGACAUAAUAUUUUACAGAAGUUAAGAGCUGAGAUUGUGAGAAUUUCCAGGGACUCCUGCCAUCAGCCCACCUCGCAUCAUUGUUUACAUGGAAAUGUUGGGACUGAGGUGACCUCAUGCCUCUCAAUUCCCAGCCAGCCUUCUCUCCCUCUGGCUCUUAGCUAGCCUGUUAAACAGAAAAUAAUCAGUGAGACGAAUAAACUACACCCUAGUGUUCUAACAAGUUACACAUAAUUGCUUGCUUACCAAUUGUCUACCUCAGAACUUUCUUUUCCUCAUAGAGUCAACAUAAUCAUCUAUUUUAAAUUCGGCUUUUGCCAUUUUACAGUCCAAGAUGCUGGACUUUGCAUAGGGCAUGGAUGGGUUUCCACAGUCCACACGAGGAUGGGAGGAGAACAGGGCAGAUCCAGCCCCACUCAGUGAGAGUUCUGGCUGGAGUUAGUUGGCUGGACUUCACUCCAGAGAGAGACCUUCCUCUGUACCAGCUACCAAGACAGCCCCUAGUUGGAAAAUCUUUUCUUCUAAGGUGAGAUGCAGCCCCCACUGGAGAGAAAAACACCAGAGAGUUUUAAAAAGGAAAAACCAAGGAUUGGAGACCUUCAAAUUAACUGACAAUAGAUACAUUAGUAGAAGAGACAAUACUUGGCUUCUUGUUCCACAAGUAUCAUUGCGGGACAAAAUUCAGCAGAUGGCAGGAUCCAGUUUACAAAGAGAUGGCAUCGAAAGUGAAGAAGGAAGCUCCUGCCCGUCCUAAAGCUGAAGCCAAAGCGAAGGUUUUGAAGGUCAAGAAGGCAGUGUUGAAAGGUGUCCAUAACCACAUGCAAAAAGAAGAUCCGCAUGUCACCCACCUUCAGGCGGCCCAAGACACUGCGACUCCAGAGGCAGCCCAGAUAUCCUCAGAAGAGCACCCCCAGGAGAAACAAGCUUGGCCACUAUGCUAUCAUCAAGUUUCCGCUGACCGCUGAGUCGGCCGUGAAGAAGACAGAAGAAAACAACACGCUUGUGUUCACUGUGGAUGUUAAAGCCAAGAAGCACCAGAUCAGACAGGCUGUGAAGAAGCUCUAUGACAGUGAUGUGGCCAAGGUCACCACCCUGAUUUGUCCUGAUAAAGAGAAGAAGGCAUAUGUUCGACUGGCUCCUGAUUAUGAUGCUUUGGAUGUUGCAACAAAAUUGGGAUCAUCUAAACUGAGUCCAGCUGGCUAACUCUAAAUAUAUGUGUAUCUUUUCACCAUAAAAAAAUGAUGUUUUUCAUAAGAAUGACAAAUUAAUUAGAACCAAAUCUAUAAGCUUUAAGAUUUUACGUUUUUAGUAAGUAUAAUAUUAGCUUAUUUGACUAGAACUCAAGCAGAAUAGGAAUUUAUGUUUGUUUUAUAUUCAAUAGUGAUAAUUUUGAAGACAGUUGUUUUAUUACACCAAAAAUAUUAUAUUAAUCUUAUUUAACUAAGUUUUAUCCAAAUCGUGUUAACUUAAAAAACAUUUGAUCAGUUCCUAUAUUUCUAGGAGUUUGGUGAAUAUUUACUUAUAAAUGCUUAUUUUUUUCCAAGCCAAGUUAGAAUAGAGCACUUUUAGAGGAUUUCAUAAAUGAAUUUUGCAAUGCUAUCCGGAGUUAAGAAAAUAUCACAUAUAUGUUACAUACAUUAAUAGAUAUACAAACACAAAUAGAGAUUUCAUAGCUUUCAUCCUGAAAUUUCAGCCAUGAAUCAGGCAUAAAUAUUCUGAUGGUUAAUUUUAGACAUCUACUUGACUGGACUAAGAGACACACAUAGCUGGUCAAACACAAUUUCAGCCAUGAAUCAGGCAUAAAUAUUCUGAUGGUUAAGUUUAGACAUCUACUUGAUUGGAUUAAGAGACACACAUAGCUGGUCAAACACAAUUUCUGGGCAUAUCUGUGAGGGUGUUUCUGGAAGACACUGAGAUAACCAUGACCCAGUGUAGAUGGGAACUGAUAUGGUUUGCCUGUUUCCCCACCCAGAUCUCAUCUUGAAUUGUAGUUCCUAUAAUCCCUAAAUGUCGUGGGAGGGACCCGGUGGGAGGUGAUUGAAUCAUGGUGGUGGUUACUGCCAUGCUGUUCUCAUGACAGUGAGUGAGUUCUCACGAUCUCAUGGUUUUAUAAGGGGCUUUUCCCCUUUGGCUCAGCACUUCUCCUUGUUGCUGCCUUGUGAAGAGGGAUAGAUUUGCUUCCCCUUCUGCCAUGAUUGUGAGGCCCCUGCAGCCAUGUGGAACUGUCAGCCCAUUAAACCUCUUUGUUCUUUAUAAAUUGCUCAGACUCAGGUAUUUCUUCAUAGCUGUAUAAAAAUGGAUGAAUACAGGCACCAUCCAAUUGGUUGAGAGCCCAGAUAGAACAAAAAGGAAGAGGAAAGGUGAAUUAUCUCCUUCUGAAACGGAAACAUCCUUCUUCUCCUGCCCUUGACAUCAGAACUUCGGGGUCUCAGACCUUUGGCCUCACAAUCAGAGUUACACCAUUGGCUUCCCUGAUUCUGAGUCCUUUAUAUCUGGAGUGAGCCAUGCUGCCAGCUUUCCUGGUUCUCGAACUUGGAGACAGGCUAUUGUGUAACUUCUCAGCCUCCAUAAUUAUGUGAACCAAUUCCCCUAAUGAGUCUUCUCUCAUCUAUCUAUCUACAUAUAUCCUAUUGAUUCUGCCUUUCUGGAGAACCCUGACUAAUGUUAUUACAAUAAUACUAAAUUCACUAGUUUAUGUAGAAGACUUGGUUUUUGUCUUUGCCCAAUUUUAUAUUUGUAUUAUAACUGUGUAUCUGGAAAAUGGAACAAGUUUUUAUCUUCUUCAUAUGAGCGCCAAAGCUUUUGUCUCACCAAUAUUUUUGGAGAUUUUUAAGAUUUUCUUUUGUUUGGACAUACAAUCUUAUGGAGGAUGAGAAAUAUUUUUUUUUCUAUUUUAUUUUUCAGCCCCAGGUGUUUGCUUUUGCAGAUUCUUGAGCACAUUGAGAGCAUGGAGAGCACUCCAAGGCAUGGAGUGGGGUGCCUAAAGUUUCAGUGAUUACAGGGAGUUGAGAUACUCAACUGGGAAAGGAAAAGUCUAAAAGGAGGCAAUUUGGAAGAUAAAAAUUUUCUCAAAAGAGCGAUUAAAUUUCUAAAUAAUUCUUAGUAAAAUCAUGCAAACAGGAAAGGAAGUAGAAUUAGUUCCAUAUUGUUGGAACACAUAGUCAGCAGAGGUUUGAGAAGGGAGAAUUUAGUCAACUGAGAAGUUCCCAUGAAAGGAGCAAGUUCAAGAUCACAGAGACACCUUGAAACAAAAAGCCAGGAAUAACUUCCGACCCAAGAAGAGAACAGAGAGGCCUCAAAACCAAAGCUAGGAUAAGAAACUUGUAGCCCAAGAGUUAUCUUCCAGACAAAGAAGCCUGAGAUUCCAACGCAGCUUCAGAGAGUGCUCACUCAAAAUGUUACUGAAACUGUAGGCUUUUUAAUGACUUAGCCAUGCCUGCAAAAGGCAUUCCCUAAGGUGGCACAGAAGACGGAGCCCCCAUAUCCAAAGAUAGCCAAGGAGAAAGAAAGACCCCUGUUGCCAGAGCCAGUGGGCAAAGGCAACAGAAAAGGAGACAAGGGUCCUAAUGGGAUGAGAUCCUUUCGGAUUUAGGCUUUUAUACAAACUCCUGAGAACUGGCAGGUUGACAGCCAUAAAUGGGGUACCAAACUUUCUACUCAUUGGAUUACAAGUUCUCAGGCAUCCAGAAUGAUGAACAAAAUGACAAUUUCUAGGGCUUCUGUGGGAGAGUAUGGAAAGAUCUUUUUGAACCUUUUAAUGCUAUCAGUGGAAGAACGAUGAGGUUCAUAAAUUUGGAAAGGAGACAUUUCUUCAUUUUUAUGUUUAUUUUUAUUUUUAUUUUUUGAGACAGAGUUUCACUCUUGUUGCCCAGGCUGGAGUGCAAUGGUGUGAUCUUGGUUCACUGCAACCUCCACCUCCUGGGUUCAAGCGAUUCUCCUGCCUCAGCCUCCUGAUUAGCUGGGAUUACAGAUACCCACCACCACACCUGGAUAAUUUUUUUUUGUAUUUUUAGUAGAGACAGGGUGUCAUCAUGUUGGCCAGGCUGGUCUGAAACUCCUGACCUCAGGUGAUCCACCUGCCUUGGCCUCCCAAAGUGCUGGGUUUACAGGCAUGAGCCACCACACCCAAUGAGAGAUUUAUUUCUUAUAAAGGGUUGCAGCCUGAAGGGUUGUCCUUCUGACAGGCUGGGAAGCACAGCCUCCAGCCAGAAGCCAGAAACAGAUGCUUCAAGGAGGAGGUAAAGGAAAUAGUAAUUUAUGCUGAUUGGAAUGGCCAAAUGCAUUUAUUUAAUAAGCUCUAGGAGGAGUCAUGAAUAUUUAUGGAAGGAGAAAUGCAUGCAUGUGCAAUUGAGUUUCUUGCUUCUUCAUGGGUCCCAUGUACAAAAAAUGGCAGUGUUAUCAUGAUCCCAGGGUGGAGUUUUCAGCUAUCUGACAUUAAAAGGUGAAGCAGAGGACAUGAAAACUCGCUCUGUGCAUCCUCUGUACACUGGCCAGAACCUCUCCAUUGUGGGUGGUCUCUUAUCAGGCAAGAAAGGAGAGGUUGAUAUCAGUGGUAGAGCCUUUGAAAGGGCUGGUUUCUGUUAAAUCCUUAGGGAAGAAAGCCUCAUCAAGGUUAGCAAAGGAAGGGGUAUAACGAUGUGUAUCUGACCUCCAUCAUCCCAUCCUAGCAAAGCUGAGAACUCAGUUUUGAAAGUUACUCUGGGGUCCCCUCAGCCAAGAGUGGGUCUGUUCAGUCAGUUGGGAGCUUAGGAUUUUAUUUUCAUUUAUCAAUGCUAAUGGGAAAGAGUACGCUGUGUCUAUGGCAGCUGAAUUUGCAAGAAACUCCUUGGAUGGGGUUAAUGGCAGUUGUAUUUUUCUGGGAGUUCUGCUUUAAUUGGAUAAAGUAAGUUCUGGUAAGAUUUCUUCCUUUAUCUUCAGUAUCUCAAGUGUUUUCACUUAAAUAAUCUUUAUAACAACUUUUGAUGUCUGAGUGGAGUCCCACACAGUCGUCUAUUGUAAGACUUUCUGAUUCCUUUUUUUUCCUUUAGUCAUUCUGAAUAGGGCUUCUGUAAAUAAUUGCAUGGUAGCUUUUGUUUGGAAAUAACAUCAAAGUAGUUGUCAAAAUACUUAGGAAUGUGAUUUUUGGAUUGUAAGGUGAGACUUGUUUAGCUUUAGAAAAAACUGCCGAAAUUUUAAUGGGGAGGAAAAAAAUUUUCUAUGUUUUUGGAAUUCUUAGAUGGGACCCGCUGUAAAAACUGACAGAUUAAAAUGAGAAAAACAGAAAAGUUUAAAAACAUGUAUACCUUAUGGAUACAUGGGAGAUACUCAAGGAAAAAUGAGUAAAUCUCCAACAGGUGGCUUUCAAUUAAAGCAUAAAUACUAUCUUCAACUUAAAGAAAGAAGAUUUGAGGUGCAGUGGUGAGUGGGGAGUUAGCCAGCAAAAGCACAUUAGACAAGGGUAAGGUUCGUUAUACAGACUUAAGUCCAUGCAUUCUCCAUUGAUAAGAGUCUUUAGUGAUUUAGUUAUCCUUCUUGGUGUCGAGAGAGGUAGCUUUUAAAUGGUGAUUUCCUUUAUAGAUGUAAAUUUUCCUUACACAAGUGUAACUUCUACUCUGUUUUCACAACUUCCUUUGUUAGCAUUUUUUUUUUCAAAAUAAUUAGCUUGGAAUAAUUGUUAAGCCAAAGGGACAUAUUUUGGGGUUUCAUAUUCUGGUUUCCUACCAUUAUAUUUUGGGGUGGCAUAUUUUGGUCUUAUACACUGUGUUCCACCGGCAAUGAAAAGAGUUCUUGUUUUUCCUCCAGCAAUUUGUCAUUUGUUAAAGAGUUUAGCAGUUCUAAGAGAUACAGACCAGCUGUGCUAUCUUUUUGUGGUUUUCAGUUCUCUAGUAUGUUGAGCAUCUUUUUGUAAGUGUACUUGCCAUCUGUAGAUCUUCUUUGGUGAGGUGUCUGUUUAGAUCUGUGUGUUUUUAAUUGGGCUGUUUAACUUAUUGUUUAGUUUUAACACUUUUUUAUAUAUUUUGAAUACAAAUUCUCAGAUCUGUAUUUUGCAAAUAUUUUCUUCAAUAUGUGGCUUGUCUUUUUGUUCUCUUAACAAGGUCUCUUCCAGAGUAUAAACUGUAAAUAUUAAGAAAUCCA